rnacentral:lncRNA from 1 species
GAUUGCGUCAUCAUGCAAGCGAAGCUCGAAUGUGUUUUAUUUAUAAAUAUCCUAAAUAAUCAUAAAGUCCUAUAUGAAACACGUGGCAAAUAGAAAACCAAGGCUACCACAACGGUAUCGCCUUCCACGGACGAAGCUGCUUUGUAAAACGUCUCGUUAAUUUUUAUUACCAUGUUUAUUAGUCUAAGGGUUAUUACUAAGCAGGAUGAAUGAAAGCAGGUUGACUAAGCAGAUAUACAAGGAGA